rnacentral:rRNA from 1 species
GACGAACGCUGGCGGCGUGCUUAACACAUGCAAGUCGAACGGAAAGGCCCUGCUUGCAGGGUACUCGAGUGGCGAACGGGUGAGUAACACGUGGGUGAUCUGCCCUGCACUUCGGGAUAAGCCUGGGAAACUGGGUCUAAUACCGGAUAGGAGCCAUUUUUAGUGUGAUGGUUGGAAAGUUGUUUCGGUGUAGGAUGAGCUCGCGGCCUAUCAGCUUGUUGGUGGGGUAAUGGCCUACCAAGGCGGCGACGGGUAGCCGGCCUGGGAGGGUGGACGGCCACAUGGGACCUGGAAUAGGGCCCGACCCCCAAGGGGAGGCGACGGUGGGGAUUUUUGAAAAAGGGGGGAAGGCCUAUUGCGGCGCCGCCGGGUGGGGAGUGAGGGCCUUGGGGUUGUAAACUCUUUUCCCUGGGAAGGAGGUUUUUGUGACGGUACCUAGAUAAGAAGCACCGGCUAACUACGUG